rnacentral:lncRNA from 1 species
AGCUUUAGCUGAGGAGAUUCGGGAUAUGUCCUCUGAUCGUCCAUCCUCCGUCGGAGCUUGCCGAAAAAGCUGAAAAAUGCGGCUGCCAUCACCUCGCCGGAACUCCCUCCUCCGGCCACCAAAGCCGAUGCCGCCGCCACCAAAAGGAAACCCUCAACUCACUGAUCAAAACAAGACUGACCUUGCCGCCAAAGGACGUCGGAAAUGACUGGAACGGCGCCAACAGCCACAACGCUCCCUUCUUUUUUGCUGCUGCUAACGUCGCCGCUGCCGCUGCUGGGCUCGUCGGCGCCAGCAGCACCCUCAACCGACUUCGCGCUCCUCCGGAGCCUGCCCCCACCGGCUGGACGCCGCCGCCGCCGCCUCCCUUCUUUCUCUUCU